UUGGCAGGUGGAUUUUUAACAACUGUGCCACCAGGGAAGCCCUACCAGGUCUUUUUGAAGUGUAAGAUGUAUGUCACUGAGAGGAAACAUGCCUUCAAGAUGAUCCCCAAGUUUUGAGAAGGAGGAGACUGGAGGAAGAAAAGUAUUGGCAGAGGAAGGCCAAAUGUUUGGUUUCUUUUGAAUGUGGAAAGGUCUCGAUGUGAGUCUAAUAAGCACUAACAAUUAAGGGAUGUGUGUGGCAGUGAGUCCCCAUACGUGAACUUGAUGAAGAGACUUUGCAGCUGAGGAUUUAUCCUGGCUACACCAAGACUAACAAAGAAACGAAGGAACAAAGCCCAUGAACCCAGGGGACGUGGAAGUUACUCAGACAUAAGGACGGAUAAAUACCACUUAGAGCACUCUCCCCCUUCCGCAUAUGGGACCGGGCAAACGUAAAUGAAAAUAGUGAGAUAAACCAGGAUGGGGCGCAUCUAUAGGGUUGUCCUGGAGUCACAAGGACACACGAACCCUGUCUACUCCAGAGGAUUACUGAGAAAAGCAAGUGACCUAACUACUAAUAUUUCAAGUUCAAGAAAGGAGUUUGAGGUUACAGAGGACACUCAUAAUCUUAGUUCCUAAGCAGAGAUAGAUCCUCCAUCAGAUUCCUCGCGACCAUAGCCACCGCGUGCACAGCAUGCAUCUAAAGUCUGCCAGUGGAAUAAUAUCCUCCUGCCAGGUGAUUCUGACUCUUCUUAUGAGGAGUGAUAAUAUCAUCUUAAUUACUAAUUGCAAAUACAAAAGACAAUAUAUGGGAUCCUAAAGCAAGGAAACUGAUCUUCUCCCAAUGCCCAGUGCAAUGCCUGGAAGACAAGGUUUGCACAAGAGAUAAGCGAUGCUCCGAUGAAUGAGAGGUCCAGAGUCAGCUCACUUCCUGGGCACGUGCCUCAUCGCACACACUCACGGUUGAUCGGCCUCUUUUACUGAAUGAUGACUACUUUUUAUAUUUCGAAAUCUCACUCAAUCAAUUCACAGAAACUCAGAAACUUUUCUAAAUAGAAACAGUCCAUCUGAGCGGUGGUAAACAAGAUGUUGAGGUCUGCAAAAUGGAAAACAAAUUAUGCAGAGGAAUUGUGUGCAAUGACUUAGAAAGAAAAAAAAAAAAAAGGACACUUUUUAACCCACUCCUGCUUCUUUAAUUGUUUUGGCAUUUGAGAAUCAGAGUCACGCAGGUAAGCAAAUGUUAACUUUCCAGAAGCCUGCCACUUGGAGGCUCAGAUCCAUUUUUGGUGUAGCUCCAUGCUGCAGCCAAGCCGCAAUAGCCCAAAGCAAGUACGUGUUGUUAUGUGUGAAAUGACUGAAGGUGGUUUUGAACUUUUCACUGAAGUGAGUGUCAUGGGUUAAAGACUUCCACCAAGACUGCGAUGAACCGCAAAACCGUCUCUGGAAUUCAGCCUAUCGCUCCUAACUGAAGUUGGAUACCCCUAGAGGAUUACAAAGUGAUAUUUGACAGCAAAGGCUUUUGCAGUUAUCAUUUGUUUGGGUUAUUAAGAGUGAACAUAUAUAUUAUAAAUGUUUCCUUUUUUUUUUUUUUUUUUAUUACCUUCCCAUACUUUUACGAGUUUGGAAGGAAAACUUCAGAAAAAUACUGUGAUAAGAGUCAGUACAUUUUCUGCAGAGAGUUUAAUAGGAUAGUUAAAAUGUCUUAAAUAAAGCAUUGUCUCUCACUGCAGACAUGGCCGUUCUCCCAGUUAUGGAUGGAAGGAGACUGCUAAAAGUACCACAACCCCGGGAAUACCCAAAACAGUACCGAAAAUCGCUGAUGCUCUUAUGUUUUACAGAUGCAGCCGCUGAGGCUGGUGGAGGAUAAAUAACAGCCCCCAGGUCACACUGGGCUGGUAGUAAGUGACAGAACCAUACUUAGAUUCCAGAUGCUCAAACUCGAAACCACUGUGUUACAUUUAUUAAACAGAUAUUUCCCAAGUUCCCAGUUAUUUUUUAGUCCGUAUAUGAUACUGCUCCUACUGGUGGUUGAAUCGUACAAUAUCAGACAUAGCUCUGCUCUUAAGAUGCUUCUCCUAUUGUCAGGGGAGAUAAGACGUGUUUCCACAAAAACUCACCAAAAUAGAAGGCCGUAAACAAGAUGUGAAGACUUAAGAGGCAGGCAUUUUAAACAAGGUAGGCUCACGUUUUGGGCCCCAAUCAAUUGUCUUUUGAAGCAUAAAACAUGAUAUUGAUAAAAGAAAUGUUCACAUAUUGAUGUAUGGGGAAGUCUUUCUGGCUUAUACAUGAGUUAACUUGAAUUUUAUGCUAACUGAAACA